GGGGGGGGGGGGGGGGGGGGGGGGGGGGGCGGGGGGAACGAGGAGGGGCGGCGGGGUGGGUGGAUUAGUGGGGAACGGGUGAGUAACACGUGAGUAACCUGCCCUUGACUCUGGGAUAAGCCUGGGAAACUGGGUCUAAUACCGGAUAGGAGCGUCCACCGCAUGGUGGGUGUUGGAAAGAUUUAUCGGUUUUGGAUGGACUCGCGGCCUAUCAGCUUGUUGGUGAGGUAAUGGCUCACCAAGGCGACGACGGGUAGCCGGCCUGAGAGGGUGACCGGCCACACUGGGACUGAGACACGGCCCAGACUCCUACGGGAGGCAGCAGUGGGGAAUAUUGCACAAUGGGCGAAAGCCUGAUGCAGCGACGCCGCGUGAGGGAUGACGGCCUUCGGGUUGUAAACCUCUUUCAGUAGGGAAGAAGCGAAAGUGACGGUACCUGCAGAAGAAGCACCGGCUAACUACGUG
rnacentral:rRNA from 1 species